rnacentral:rRNA from 1 species
UGGGGAAUAUUGGACAAUGGGCGAAAGCCUGAUCCAGCCAUGCCGCGUGUGUGAAGAAGGUCUUCGGAUUGUAAAGCACUUUAAGUUGGGAGGAAGGGCAGUUACCUAAUACGUGAUUGUUUUGACGUUACCGACAGAAUAAGCACCGGCUAACUCUGUGCCAGCAGCCGCGGUAAUACAGAGGGUGCAAGCGUUAAUCGGAAUUACUGGGCGUAAAGCGCGCGUAGGUGGUUAGUUAAGUCAGAUGUGAAAGCCCCGGGCUCAACCUGGGAAUUGCAUUCAAAACUGACUGACUAGAGUAUGGUAGAGGGUGGUGGAAUUUCCUGUGUAGCGGUGAAAUGCGUAGAUAUAGGAAGGAACACCAGUGGCGAAGGCGACCACCUGGACUGAUACUGACACUGAGGUGCGAAAGCGUGGGGAGCAAACAGGAUUAGAUACCCCAGUAGUCCCUGAGCGGGCUGGCAAGGCGCAU